GGGGAUGAUCGGUUUCGACGAUGUGAGUCGCGACAGGGGAAGCGGGCCGAGGAUGCAGAGUCAUCUCGUCAACGCUCUCUGCAAACCAACAAGUGCCGAAUCUAAGCGCACUGACUUCGCUCUCGCUGCCUGAUCAGUGAACGAGUCCGUCAGCCCGGGGAUGCUAUCGCCCCGGAUCCUGGCGUCAACUAGAUAGCCACUGUCCACCACCCUCGCCGGGGGUCGUGGUGGAGACCUUAAUCCGGCUGGGCCCGGGUUGGCUGCCUGUGUGCGGGACAGCCAGGGCCGAGUAACACCCACAGCACACUGCGCCCGGAGAAGACCUGGCAACACUGCAUCGGACGCGGGUUCAAUUCCCGCCAUCUCCACCA
rnacentral:tmRNA from 1 species